rnacentral:rRNA from 1 species
CGGACGGGUGAGUAAUGCUUGGGAAUCUGGCUUAUGGAGGGGGAUAACGACGGGAAACUGUCGCUAAUACCGCGUAGAGUCGAGAGACGAAAGUGCGGGACCGCAAGGCCGCAUGCCAUGAGAUGAGCCCAAGUGGGAUUAGGUAGUUGGUAGGGUAAAGGCCUACCAAGCCGACGAUCUCUAGCUGGUCUGAGAGGAUGACCAGCCACACCGGGACUGAGACACGGCCCGG